CUUGCCGGGGAUCGCCCCCCGUCAGCGCGUCGCGCCCACGGGGGCGUCACUG
rfam:Paracoccus aminovorans strain DSM 8537 genome assembly, contig: Ga0070007_104